rnacentral:piRNA from 1 species
UGUUUAGGUAUAACGCCUGUACUGGAUA